GACAGCUCCGUCAGUAGAGCAUGAGACUCUUAAUCUCAGGGUUGUGGGUUUGAGCCCCAUGUUAGGCA